rnacentral:piRNA from 1 species
UNGACUGCAACUCACUCAAUUUAGUAAC